GCUCAGUUGGUAGAGCAUGGUGUUUGCAACGCCAGGGGUUGUGGGUUCGAUUCCCAC
rnacentral:tRNA from 1 species